AUCAACAAGGCUGAGGACGAGUUGAAAGAAAUCUCUUCCGAAGUCAUGGUUGAAGACUCUUUGAUGGUUAAUUUGGCUGCUCAGAUGAAGGAAUUUCAAGCCAAAAUGGACGACUGCAGGGCGAGAAUGGCUACUAAAAAGCGCAACGCCUCCCAAGGAAUUGAGCGAACUAAGUCCUUGGUUGAGCAGUACAAGAAGUUGGAAGUUGAUGAUGAUGUUGUGGCUGAAUUAAACAUCACUCCCUCUCGGCAGAACGAGGAUUGGGAAAAACUUAGGGAACGAGUUCGUUCAGUGUGGGGUAGACUGUAAUUAGGACACAUUAUGCCUUUUCUUUUGUAAUUUGAUUUUCCUUU
rnacentral:lncRNA from 1 species